UACGUAGGGGGCAAGCGUUGUCCGGAAUCAUUGGGCGUAAAGCGCGCGUAGGCGGCCCGGUAAGUCCGCUGUAAAAGUCCAGGGCUCAACCCUGGAAAGCCGGUGGAUACUGUCGGGCUAGAGUCCGGAAGAGGCGAGUGGAAUUCCUGGUGUAGCGGUGAAAUGCGCAGAUAUCAGGAGGAACACCAAUUGCGAAGGCAGCUCGCUGGGACGUAACUGACGCUGAGACGCGAAAGCGUGGGGAGCAAACAGG
rnacentral:rRNA from 1 species